UCAUGGCUCAGAUUGAACGCUGGCGGCAGGCCUAACACAUGCAAGUCGAGCGGAUGAAGGGAGCUUGCUCCUGGAUUCAGCGGCGGACGGGUGAGUAAUGCCUAGGAAUCUGCCUGGUAGUGGGGGAUAACGUCCGGAAACGGGCGCUAAUACCGCAUACGUCCUGAGGGAGAAAGUGGGGGAUCUUCGGACCUCACGCUAUCAGAUGAGCCUAGGUCGGAUUAGCUAGUUGGUGGGGUAAAGGCCUACCAAGGCGACGAUCCGUAACUGGUCUGAGAGGAUGAUCAGUCACACUGGAACUGAGACACGGUCCAGACUCCUACGGGAGGCAGCAGUGGGGAAUAUUGGACAAUGGGCGAAAGCCUGAUCCAGCCAUGCCGCGUGUGUGAAGAAGGUCUUCGGAUUGUAAAGCACUUUAAGUUGGGAGGAAGGGCAGUAAGUUAAUACCUUGCUGUUUUGACGUACCA
rnacentral:rRNA from 1 species